rnacentral:rRNA from 1 species
UUACUAAGCGGAGGAAAAGAAACUAACAAAGAUUCCCUCAGUAAGGGCGACUGAAGGGGGAAUAGUUCAAUUUGUGAAUCAAUGUCCUGACAUUGAAUUGUGGUCUACAGUAUCGAACAUCAAUGACCGGAUCAAGUCCCUUGGAAUAGGGCGGCCGAGAGGGUGAGACCCCCGUUCAUCUGGUCAAUGAAGUGAGAUUCUAUGAGUCGAGUUGUUUGGGAUUGCAGCUCAAAGUGGGUGGUAAAUUCCAUCUAAAACUAAAUAUUGGUGGGAGACCGAUAGCAAACAAGUACCGUGAGGGAAAGAUGCAAAGAACUUUGAAAAGAGAGUUAAAGAGUACCUGAAAUUGCUGAAAGGGAAGCGAAGGAAACUAGUGUCGACCUCGUCAUAUUUUUCUGUCUGCUUGCGGAUAGAACGCUGUGGCGGGUAGGGUCAGUAUUGGUUGGGUAACAUGUAAAUGUGUCAAGGGAGUUGACCUUGAUCUAUGACCUGUUGUCCUACUGAUUGCUGACAAAAUGGUUUUCUUCUCCCUG